CAUUUGAUACUGGCAAGCUUGAGUCUCGUGGGGGUAAAUUCCAGGUGAGCGGUGAAAUGCGUAGAGAUGUGGAGGAAUACCUGGCGAAGGCGGCCCCCUGGACGAGACUGACGCUCAGGUGGAAAGCGUGGGGAGCAAACAGGAUUAGAUACCCUGGUGUUCACGCCUAAACGAUGUCGACUUGGAGGUUGUGCCCUUGAGGCGUGGCUUCCGAGCUAACGCGUUAAGUCGACCGCCUGGGGAGUACGGCCGCAAGGUUAAAACUCAAAUGAAUUGACGGGGGCCCGCACAAGCGGUGGAGCAUGUGGUUUUUCGAUGCAACGCGAAGAACCUUACCUGGUCUUGACAUCCACGGAUUCAGAGAUGAGAAUGUGCCUUCGGGAACCGUGAGACAGGUGCUGCAUGGCUGUCGUCAGCUCGUGUUGUGAAAUGUUGGGUUAAGUCCCGCAACGAGCGCAACCCUUAUCCUUUUUGCCAGCGGUCCCCGGGAACUCAAAGGAGACUGCCAGUGAUAAACUGGAGGAAGGUGGGGAUGACGUCAAGUCAUCAUGGCCCUUACGACCGCUACACACGUGCUACAAUGGCGCAUACAAAGAGAAGCGACCUCGCGAGAGCAAGCGGACCUCAUAAAGGUCGUAGUCCGGAUGAGUCUGCAACUCGACUCCAUGAAGUCGGAAUCGCUAGUAAUCGUGGAUCAGAGCCACGGUGAAUACGUUCCCGGGCCUUGUAACACCGCCCGUCACACCAUGGGAGUGGGUUGCAAAAGAAGUAGGUAGCUUAACCUUCGGGAGGGCGCUUACCACUUUGUGAUUCAUGAC
rnacentral:rRNA from 1 species